CGACACAUUUAACUAUCUCCAUAUUUCCAGACUUUUCCUCUCCUCUGCUCAUCAUCAAUAGAAAGAUGUUUCACCUUGCUGGAUGGAUCUCCAACAACUCGCUCCUCUGUUCACUGUUUCUGAGCCGAGCUGCAUUUAUUUAUUCAUCCAGUAGCUUUGAUUUCCUUCUCAGUCUCUCUGUGGAAACACUGCCUGCAGUUCAACCCAAAAACUCUGAAUUUUUCCGUCGGUCACAGAUGAGUAUUAUAUCUCUAAUACUCAUCAGUUACUGCAGUAUUUUACCUCUAAUACUCGUCAGUUACUGCAGUAUUUUAGCUCUAAUACUCAUCAGUUACUGCAGUAUUUCAGCUCUAAUAUUUAUCAGUUACUGCAGUAUUUUCGCUCUAAUACUCAUCAGUUACUGCAGUAUUUUACCACUAAUACCCAUCAGUUACUGCAGUGUUUUACCUCUAAUACUCAUCAGUUACUGCAGUAUUUUACCUCUAAUACUCAUCAGUUACUGCAGUAUUUCAGCUUAAUACUCAUCAGUUACUGCAGUAUUUUAGCUCUAAUACUCAUCAAUUACUGUAGUAUUUUACCUCUAAUACUCAUCAGUUACUGCAGUAUUUCAGCUCUAAUACUCCUCAGUUACUGCAGUAUUUUACCUCUAAUACUCAUCAGUUACUGCAGUAUUUUUGCUCUAAUACUCAUCAGUUACUGCAGUAUUUUACCUCUAACACUCCUCAGUUACUGCAGUAUUUUAGCUCUAAUACUCAUCAGUUACUGCAGUAUUUUACCUCUAAUACUCAUCAGUUACUGCAGUAUUUUAGCUCUAAUACUCAUCAGUUACUGCAGUAUUUUAGCUCUAACACUCCUCAGUUACUGCAGUAUUUUACCUCUAAUACUCAUCAGUUACUGCAGUAUUUUAGCCCUAAUAUUCAUCAGUUACUGCAGUAUUUCAGCUCGAAUACUCUGCUCUGCAGUAUUGAACUCUUCUGUCCAUCAGUGUGAUCAUGAUACUCUCCAGGUGAACUCUGAUAUCAAAUCCUGAUCUAAUCAACAGCUUAUUAUUAGGACCAAUAGUCUCUGAUCAGUAUUGAUCACAUCAUGGUGACAACUGGACUGAUAACAGUUUCAAUAAUAUUCUAUGUGUCACUAACAACCCUGAAGUUAAGGAGAAAUUAUCUGAAACUUGGUUCCAGAGAUUCUCAGUUUUUUCCACAUUUAAGGUCAAACCUUCAUUUUUCUGAAACUCACUUUCUAAUCUGUCACAACUUUAUUCUAUUAGUGAAAAUGAACAAAAGGCAGAUUUCACUGCUUUGUCGACCUCAUUAGAGCACAGAUCUAAAACUACAACAUGGACACUGACAGACUCUUUCAUUUCUGUUUGUUGUUUAACAAAUUUAAAAUCUCUGUUGAAGGCGUUUCCUCCUCCGUUGCCCUGACAACAGUGACGUCACGGCCCUACCUGUUCACUAAGUUAGUUUCACUUUUACCAUCCUCGUGUCGCAGCUUGUUUUCUCCGUGUGAAGGUGAAGGUAAACGGUGUGUGUGAGCUGGUGUGAGUUCAGCAGCAUGGAUCAGUGUGAGGAUCCUCACAGCUCUCUGUGGGGGGAACAGAAGAACCAGAACAAAGCUGAGAGGAAAGAACCUGGAUCUGAACCAGAACCUGCACCAGAACCAGAACCUGAAACUGAUCCUGAUCCUGGAUCUGGACCUGGACCAGAACCAGAACCUGAACCUGAACCUGGACCUGCACCCAGCUGUGUGUCCUUUAAGAGCGAUGACUCAAAGGAUAUUUUAGUUGAAUUCAAAGGAGAACAACCUCGUGCUUCAAAGAGGAGAACAUCAAUCCCUCAGAGACCCAAACGUGGAUCUGAACCUGCACCUGCACCCAGUUGUGUGUCCUUUAAGAGUGAUGACUCAAAGCAUAUUUUAGUUGAAAUCAAAGGAGAACAACGUUCCGCUGCAAAGAGAGUGGAGCAGCAGAGUUCAGAGGUUCCCAGAGCUCAGUCUGUCCAGCAGCAUCACCUGGACUCCAUAUUCAUGCUGCUGGAGGACAACAUGGUGACUUUUGUGAAGAAGGAGCUGAAGAAGAUGCAGAAGGUUGUGAGUCCAGAUUACCCAGAAUGCUCAGAGAGUCAGAGGGAGGAUGAGGAGGAGUUGGAGGGUGAUGAUGAAGAUCAGAGGAGCAGCAGAGAGAUGUUUCAGCAGAUCACAGUGUUGUUCCUGAGGAGGAUGAAGCAGGAGAAGCUGGCUGACUGUCUGCAGAGCAAACUUGCUGCUCCAGUUUGUAGACGUAAACUUAAAUGUGGCCUGAAGAAGAAGUUCCAGACAGUGUUUGAGGGCAUCGCUAAAGCAGGACAGCCGACCCUCCUGAAUGAGAUCUACACAGAGCUGUACAUCACAGAGGGAGGGACUGCAGAGGUCAAUGAUGAACAUGAGGUCAGACAGAUUGAAGCAGCAUCCAGGAAAGCAGACAGAGUAGAAACAAGCAUCAGACCAGAAGACAUCUUUAAAGGCUCACAUGGAAGAGAUGGACCAAUCAGAACAGUGAUGACACAGGGAGUGGCUGGCAUCGGGAAAACAGUGUUAACACAGAAGUUGACUCUGGACUGGGCUGAAGACAAAAGCAACCAGGACAUCCACUUCAUGUUUCCAUUGACUUUCAGAGAACUGAAUGUGCUGAAAGAGAGAAAGUUCAGUUUGGUGGAACUUGUUCAUCACUUCUUCAGUGAAACCAAAGCAGCAGGAAUGUGCAGCUUUGAAGACUUCCAGGUUGUGUUGAUCUUUGACGGUCUGGAUGAGUGUCGCCUUCCUCUGGACUUCCACAACAAUGAGGUCCUGACUGAUGUUACAGAGUCCACCUCAGUGGAUGUGCUGCUGACAAACCUGAUCAGGGGGAAGCUGCUUCCUUCUGCUCGCCUCUGGAUAACCACACGACCUGCAGCAGCCAAUCAGAUCCCUCCUGACUGUGUGGACAUGGUGACGGAGGUCAGAGGGUUCAGCGACCCACAGAAGGAGGAGUACUUCAGGAAGAGAUCCAGAGAUGAGGAGCAGGCCAGCAGCAUCAUCUCCCACAUGAAGACAUCACGAAGCCUCCACAUCAUGUGCCACAUCCCAGUGUUCUGCUGGAUCACUGCUACAGUUCUGGAGGAGCUGCUGAGAACCAGAGAGGGAGGAGAUCUGCCCAGAACCCUGACUGAGAUGUUCAUCCACCACCUGGUGGUUCAGACCAAAGUCAAGAAGGUCAAGUAUGAUGGAGGAGCUGAGACAGAUCCUCACUGGAGUCCAGACAGCAGGAGGAUGAUUGAGUCUCUGGGAAAACUGGCUUUUAAUCAGCUGCAGAAAGGAAACCUGAUCUUCUAUGAGUCCGACCUGACAGAGUGUGGCAUCGAUGUGGAAGCAGCCUCAAAGUACUCAGGAGUGUUCACACAGAUCUUUAAAGAGGAGAGAGGACUGUACCAGGACAAGGUGUUCUGCUUCGUCCAUCUGAGUGUUCAGGAGUUUCUGGCUGCAGUCUACAUGUUCCACUGUUACACCAACAGGAAGCAGGAGGUUCUGGAGGACUUCCUGGGAAAAGGCUGGAAAGACGAGAACAGAGACACUCUGGAUGUGUUCCUGAAGAGAGUCAUGGAGAAAUCCCUGAGAAGUAAAAAUGGUCACCUGGACCUGUUUGUUCGCUUCCUUCAUGGCCUCUGUCUGGAGUCCAAUCAGAGACUCUUAGGAGGUCUGCUGGGUCAGACAGAGAACCGUCCAGGAAUGAUCCAGAGAGUCAUCAACAACCUGAAGAAGAUGAAGAGUGAUGAAAUGUCUCCAGACAGAAGCAUCAACAUCUUCCACUGUCUGAUGGAGAUGAAGGAUCUCUCAGUACAUCAGGAGAUCCAAGAGUUCCUGCAGUCAGAGAACAGAUCAGAGAAGUUCCUCUCUGGGAUCCACUGCUCAGCUCUGGCCUACAUGCUGCAGAUGUCAGAGGAGGUUCUGGAUGAGUUGGACCUGAAGAAGUACAGAACAUCAGAGGAGGGAAAACUGAGACUGAUUCCAGCUGUGAGGAACUGCAGAAAGUUCAGACUUUCUGACUGUAGACUCUCAGAGAGUCACUGUGAAGUUGUGGCCUCAGCUCUGAAGUCCAACCCCUCCCAUCUGAUAGAUCUGGACCUGUAUGGAAACAACCUGCAGGAUUCAGGAGUGAAGCAUCUUUCUGCUGGACUGCAGAGUCCAAACUGUAAACUGGAGACUCUCAGAUUGGAGAACUGCAGUUUGUCAGAGAUCAGCUGUGAUUCUCUGGUCUCAGCUCUGAAGUCCAACCCCUCCCAUCUGGAACAUCUGGACCUGAGGUGGAACAACCUGCAGGAUUCAUCAGUGGAACAUCUGUUAGAUCUUGUGAAGAGUCCAGACUGCAUCCUGAAGACUCUGAGAUGGAGGUUCUGAUCAGGACGGUGUUUGUGCUGAGAGGAUGAAGUGUGUCCUGAUGAUCCAGAGGUUGAAGCAGCAGCAGCAGCAGCAGCAGCAGCAGCAGCUGGUGUGUAGAGACUCUGACUGGACCAUGUUACUGGGAGGUGGACUGGGAACCAGUAUGAAGUGUGUUGUUCCUGUACAGUUUAGUGUUGCAGCUCCACACUGUGAAUGAG